UAAAGGUUAUUCUUACCAGUUAAUGUAUUUUAUCCCUCUUUAUUUAGUCUUUGUGAAUUUGGAAUUUCUCUAGUUAUAUUUAUGCCUCUAAUUUUCCUCUUAUUUCCUAGAGUUUUGUUUUUCUCUUUAAAUGUGUACAGUAGGUCCUUGAGUUACGUUGGAGAUCCGUUCCUAUGGCGAGACAUAAUGCAAUUUUCACCAACUGGCUACACCCAUUGAGAAUUGGGGAGUUCACUUCCUGUUGGAUUUGCACAUGCCUAUUGGUAACCAGUAGAAUGCUGCAGAAGUGAUGCUGUGUGAUUUCUUAGCCUCAGUCUUAAAAAGCAAUGCUGCUUCCACCUUGUUUGUUGAAACACUGGCUUCUUGGAGCACUAAGUCUGAGACCCUGAAGCUGCCAUGCUGUGACGAAAGACACAUGGAGAGACCUAAGGUCUCAGGUGGUCAGUCCUAGCCUUCAAGUCCUUCCAAGCCAGUCCCCAGACGUGUGAGUGAAUGAACUAUCAGAUGAUUCAGAUGAUGCCAGCCUCAGCCAUUGAAUCACUCCCAGGGACACUCCUAGACUUUGAGACUCUGCAUCCAGGCUCCAGACCUGGUGGAGCAGAGACAAGCCAUCUUCAAUGUGCCCUUUGUGAAUUCCUGGUUCAGAGAAUCUGAGCUCAAUAAAAUGGCUUUUGUUUUAUGUCA